UUCCCUCCAAUUUUUUGUUUGUUUCGAGAGCGGCCGAGUGAGCGUGAGGGUCAUACACGACGUUGCUGGCGUCGUUCAAAAUACAAUUAUCGGAUUAGUGUUUGUUAUUUCUGAUUUUGCAACUCAUGGCAAACUUCAGAAAUUAAGUUAUCUAAUAGCAAGAAUAUAUUAAACUCAGAAAUAUGUCUUCCCUGGUGAGUUUGGUCCAAACUUGUUGGAAUUUUCUUUGCUGAAGCCACAUCAUCUUACUUUUCAUAUAAAGUGAUUAAACCGUUCCUCUGGUUCCCCAAGAGCCAGUCGUGAUGUCCAUUGUCUCUGGUGAUUCACACAAGAUGAGGAUUCCACUUCCGGGCGCUCCUUUUCGACCCGCACGACCUAGUGCUUGUUCCUCGAUCCGCACGUUAUCCGGCAGGU